CUACUACUCCCUCGGUACGAAAAUACUUGUCAUUGAAAUGGAUGUAUCUAGAUGUAUUUUAGUUCUAGACACAUCCAUUUUGAUGACAAGUAAUUCCGGAAGGAGGGAGUAUUAU
rfam:Triticum aestivum genome assembly, contig: Triticum_aestivum_CS42_TGACv1_scaffold_513219_6BS